GUCUGCAAGUGAAAAUGUUUGCCCACGCCUGCUCUAAUCACUCACCUCUAAUGUGAUGUGCAGCUCUAACUGAAAUGAAAGUAUUUCACUAAGUCUUUCACGUUAGUCCCUAAGUGCUUUAAUGUGUGUGAUGAAAUGAGCGAUGGCCUCACCAGUAUUUUUUGUUUGUUUGUUUUGUUUCUCUAAAGCCUACAGCAAAGGUACACGCAGACGUGCUGUCAGAGUUGGUCCGUCCCUGCAUUGACUACGUCCGCCACAAAAAGUUCCGUUCUGGGAACUUCCCAUCAUCCCUGAGUAAUGAGAGCGACCGACUAGUUCACUGGUGCCACGGAGCGCCUGGUAUCAUUCAUGUGCUAAUCAUGGCUUAUCAGGUUUUCAAAGAAGAGAAGUACUUGAAGGAGGCUACAGAAUGUGCUGAAGUUAUCUGGCAGCGGGGCCUCCUCAGAAAAGGCUACGGCAUCUGCCAUGGCACAGCCGGCAACGGCUAUGCUUUCCUGUCCCUUUACAAAGUCACAAAGGACAAGAAAUACCUGUACCGAGCCUGCAAAUUUGCCGAGUGGUGUUUGGACUAUGGCACUCACGGCUGUCGCAUUCCAGACAGACCCUACUCGCUUUUUGAAGGUAUGGCAGGGACCAUCUACUAUCUUUCGGAGAUGGCUACGCCAGAAGCUUCCUGUUUCCCUGCCUUUGAACUUUGACCUUGCAGCUGUUGCAUCUGAGGUGAAAAAAAAAACUGCUUCAGAAGAUAACUUAAGUAUUAUGCGUCACAAAGGACAAGGACCAGUGAGUAGUGACUGUUUUAAUACCAGUGGAAAGGCGAGACUGCAUUUGUUCUAAAAGUCGGUCAAAAGAAAUUAAUUUAAUGACAGAUGAGGAUUAUUUAUGACUGAACUAUAUCAAUGAAAAAAAAAAAAAAAAAGCAGCAAGUGAAUGGAAAAACGACAGUUGCCCAACACCGGACCUUGGUCCUUCUGCUGAUCGCCUACUUCAGUGGGAGGACGAUAAACCCCUUGGGCCUCUUCUCAUGUAUUUAAUUUGAUAACCUGUCGGAAAAAGACGCCCUCCACACCCCUUUACUCGUCUUCAAUAAUGUAGCAUCUAGGCCAAGAAAGUGGGUUAAGUGUUGUAAUGUGUGUGUAUAUGUUUGUUUGUGUCCGUUUGUUGACAAGUAGAUAUUUCUGGAAUAAGGGCAUCUUGUUAUUUCCAAGGGCUUUUUUGAGUUGAUGUUUGAAACAUCACAUAAGGAUGUGGUUAGCAGCAACUAGGGAUGGGCUCAAUCUGAUACUCAGGGUCGGUAUCGGUCAGAUAUUGGUCAAAAUUUCAGGAGCAAACAUAAAAAAACAAAACAACUAUAGCCCAUCUAAUCUGAUACCUAAGCCCAAAUGAAAAGUUAACUUUUUGUGACAUGCUGUAAACGGGGACACUAUCGCCUUAGCAACGGCAUGCAGGAGGAGAAAAGGAAGUUUCAGAUUCAUACCUCCACCGCCCACAAGACAAGAAUGGAGGUUUUUCACUGCUACUAAGUCCUUAUUUGACACUUUUAGUCUUGUUUCAGUUUAAGAAUACAUUGCAAUUUUGAAUAGUUUCUUGUGCCUUGUGGCCUUUUUGUACUUUACGCCAUGAACACUUUCAAUUCUGUGUACAUGUCGUUUUUUUUUUUGCAGUACUUAACCCUUAGGUAUUAGCUACUUUAAAGAUAAGUAUGUCAUGAGGAAUUGCUUGGUGUCAGCACAGUAAUUGUGACGUACCCAAAACUGUGGGUUUUUUUUUUGUGUGUGUGUGUACGUGUGUCGUAAUUUCAGACCUUGCAUGCUCACCUUGAAUGGCUUAUGGUGUCUCAUUUCCCGGUCUGCCUUCCUUCCGUUUGUAACUGUGCUGUUCAAAUCGUAUAGAAGCAUCAGCAUCUUCUUUUCCCAUUAUCUAUUUUUCCCUUUAAGACAAAUCCUUUUUUUUCUCUCUUAUACAGAAUAUAUCAGAGAAUUCUUGAUAGAGUUUAUUUUUGAGUUCUCAAGAUGUUGAAAACAGUGAAUAAACGAAGCAAACAUCAAUAAAGGUUCAAAAGAAUGUUCUAACAAAAAAUACUUUUCUAGUGAUAGUAUCAGUGUCUGUGUGUGUAACAGGAACUACUUCUCCAGGAACUACAGUGGGUACGGAAAGUAUUCAGACACCCUUACAUUUUUCACUCACGAUUAAAUCUGAACAUUCAGGGUGAAUUAAAUAAUUAACCACAAAUGUGUGCUUUGAUAUUUGUGCUUUAAAUCCCGACAGAACCAUCGUGUUACUUUUGUAAAGAGUUCCUGGUGCUGGCUCGCGGUCAUGGAGGUGACGUAAAACGCUAUUCUGUACCAGGUGUGGUGACAGGAUGUCUGGUGAAGGAGACGUUAAACGCUUGCUCGUCUCUCAGAGGUGAUGGAUACAUCCGUCUGCGGAUGAGGAAACCAGCACCACAGCAGAACAAAACUCCCAUCAUCAGCAGCACCCUGCAGUCAAAGGAAGGUCUCCAUCACUAAACAAAACCCGGAAAACUGAGCACAGACACCGGAGCUACUGCGCACGGUCCUAAUAUGAAGAGGCAGAGUAAUCAACCAAUCACGUUGGAGUGUUUGAGGAGAGGUCCUCGGGUUACGACGUCCUCGACCUACAGCGCUUCGUGGUAAUGUUGUCAUCUCCCGUACAUUUUUUUUUUUAGAAACUCUCGUUUCAUCAUUUCGACACACGCUGUUUGCGAUGUCGUAACAAAUUUCGCACAGCAACUAGUUGGAAGGCAGAGUGGACCAAUAUGGCGUCGCGUGGCGCUAUAUGCAGAGGACAACUUUGUUUAUAUUCGCCGCUUGUACGCCAUACUUUGGGUUGUUUUUUUUUGUUUUUUUUUUGGGAACUUCUUGCACAUCAUUAUGGCUGGUUUUUAUGUCCUAGAUUAUGAUGUUACUACUGCAUUAGGUUAGAUGAGUGACGUAAGUACUUAUAUGGUAUGUGAGCUCCAACUUACAGUGGAAAAUGAUGUCGUAACGGAACGCCGACGUAAGUCGAGGACCCCCUGUAUAAUGAGAAAAUACAGUGUACUUUCGAAGUGCAGCUUGUCCUUUUUCUUAAUUUAUUCAUUUUUGAUUACGUUACUUUACUGAUGCAUGAAAAUACUGCAACAGAGACUAGACUAGAGAGAUAAUUUUAAUGUAAAUUUUUUUUAAUAAAAAUUCAAAAUAUAUAUCCAUGUAGAUCCCCAUAAUCUCUGACCCCCUACUAGUCCCCGGCCCUGUGGUUGAGAACCCAUGCAAUCAAAAACCUUCAUUAUAGGCCAUUGAAAUUAAUGGUUCUAAAAAGCAAAAUAAUAAUAAUAAUAAUAAUUAAAUAAAAUGGAUGAACAUGAGCCGCCGGGUAAAAAGAAGAGCCACAGCUGUGUGAGACAGUGACUUUCGUAGAGGCCCAGUAACCCAGUGAACAGUGUGGUGGACCGGCUACGAAGACAAAGGAUGACGGGAUCACAGGUGGGUCCGCUCGACCCCCUACCACAAACAUACCCGGAUAAGAAAAACCCAGGCUUUUCUUAGAACACAUCACGUUUCAUCAAUGUCCACACCACCAUCAUCAUCACCACCAUCAUCAUCAUCAUCAUCAUCGUCAUCAUCAUGACCUCUUUCACAUUAUAUCCCAUUCUCCCCUGCGCUGUGCAUCACAUCCAAAUACAGGAGCAGCAACAACAACCGCCGAUAAAAAAAACAUUCGCGAAGAUGUACGGACUCUACUGUGAAAUAAAUAAAACUCAGAAAACACUGACACACCGCCGAUAAAAAAAAACCCGCACAAAAACCACUCGUUCCGGUGUCUCCUCCGUGCGGUGACGGGCACGACUCACCUCCGCGAGCAGCCAGAGCAUCAGCGCUACGCCGGUCACGGGAUUCCUCAUGUCUCCGUCCGGGGAGGGAAGAGACGGAGCUGCGGUGCCGGAGAAGAAACGGAAGAAGGAGUUGAUGGAGGAGUAAGAGGAAGAUGAGGGUGAGGAGGAGGAUGAGGAGGAGAUGCUCCUUUAUCACUUCGGCGCUUUCAUCCCGGCAGACGAAACCGACGAGCCUGAGAGGAAAGCCUGCGGUUCCUGCUGCUGCUCCUCUUAGUACUGAUGCUCCUCUUUAGAACUGAGCCUCCUCCCGCUGCUGCUGCUGCUCCUCCUGCUCCACACGCGUACUCCGGGUUCAGAGGACAAACACCGAGAAGCUCGGUAGACAGGAGGUGAUCAGGUCGAUGAGGGGAAACGUGCAUUAGUGGGUGACGUUGCCUGUGGGCCCCGUCCCUUCCCAAACCCCGCCCAUUGGCCUCAACACAAAAGCAUUGUACGAUACAGACUGUCUGGGAAUGAAGUCUCGUUGUUGUAUUGUUCGGUUGUAAUACAUGAUAAUAUUGAUGAGGGAAAAGAUAUUAAAUAUGUUCCAUCUACUUUUUUUCUUCAAAAUAACUUUAUUUUUCUUUGUAUCCACCAGUCGCUCAAGGUACAUAUUUUAAUCCUUAAAAUUUUUGGAAUUAUUUUGGUUUCAACCUCUGUUGACCGGCACUGGUCCAUGGGUCAAAAAUAAUGCAUACCUUACAUAAUUUCCGUUUGAUUUAUUAUCUGAUUCUGAAUUAUGUUUUAUUUGGGUUGGAGGCCGGUGAUUUAAAUCAUCAGCAUACAUGUAGGUACCGGAGUGUCAAGGGUCAUCAGUGCAGACGAGAUAAAAUUUAGAAAAAAAAAAUUGCAUAAACUUUUCAUUAGCAUAUAAUUAAAUGCUAAAUUAGGAUUUUGACAAAAAAAAACAUCGGAAAAUAAAAAUGAAUCCCCAAAAUGCCCUAAUUUGAUGAGAAACGUGCAGAAUAUGUAAAAUUUCAGGGGAAAAAAAAAAUUCGGAACAAAAUUGACAUGCUAAAUUCCAAAAAAAUUCUUAAUUUCUACAUGCAGAAAUGAUCAAAUUUCAAAACCAGUUGCCUGUAUAGCAAGGAGGUCAGUAAUGCGGUUUCCUCCCACAGCCUCGGAUUGUCCCGACUGGUCAAUCUAAU